rnacentral:rRNA from 1 species
UACGAAGGGGGCUAGCGUUGCUCGGAAUUACUGGGCGUAAAGGGCGCGUAGGCGGGUCGUUAAGUAGGGGGUGAAAGCCCAGGGCUCAACCCUGGAAUUGCCUUCUAAACUGGCGACCUUGAGUAUGGCAGAGGUGUGUGGAACUCCGAGUGUAGAGGUGAAAUUCGUAGAUAUUCGGAAGAACACCAGUGGCGAAGGCGACACACUGGGCCAUUAC